CGGCGUGCCUAACACAUGCAAGUCGAGCGAAUGAAGUUUCUUCGGGAACGGAUUUAGCGGCGGACGGGUGAGUAACACGUGGGCAACCUGCCUCAUAGAGGGGAAUAGCCUUCCGAAAGGGAGAUUAAUACCGCAUAAGAUUGUAGUACCGCAUGGUACAGCAAUUAAAGGAGCAAUCCGCUAUGAGAUGGGCCCGCGGCGCAUUAGCUAGUUGGUGAGGUAACGGCUCACCAAGGCGACGAUGCGUAGCCGACCUGAGAGGGUGAUCGGCCACAUUGGGACUGAGACACGGCCCAGACUCCUACGGGAGGCAGCAGUGGGGAAUAUUGCACAAUGGGGGAAACCCUGAUGCAGCAACGCCGCGUGAGUGAUGACGGCCUUCGGGUUGUAAAGCUCUGUCUUCAGGGACGAUAAUGACGGUACCUGAGGAGGAAGCCACGGCUAACUACGUG
rnacentral:rRNA from 1 species